CACAAUCCUAAGAAAUCCACCCUCCUCUCGUAACCCUCUCGGUCCUAUCCCGUCUACCGGCCCGUUCCCCUUUGCGGCGGCGCAUCGCCAUCGAUCCAGGCCGCCGCACGCCUCAUCCCGCCUUCCUCCGUAGCUAGCGGCGGCGCACUUCGGCAGGUCCCUCCCAUCUCGCCUCACCCCGGCCGCAUUCCUCGCGCUGCUCGACUCCAGCCUCAUCUCGCCUCAUCCCGUCAUCCGUAAGGGCACAGCGGCGCGGCAGCGUGGAGCCGUGGAGGGCAAAGGCCAAAGGGUGAUCACGACAGGGCGGCUCGACUCCCGACCAGCACCCGGGUCUACUAGAAGAAGCAAGCAAGGGGCGGCGACCACAGCACCAAGCAGUACCUCGUCAUCAACGGAUCCUUCUCUUCAGUAUCAAUCCCAAGGUUUGUUUCGAGAAAUAAGAUUAAGUGAGCUUUAACUGAAAAAAACAAAAGGUGGAUAUCCCCGUCAAACGUGGAAAGAAGAAGCAAAGGCGAACAAUGGUGUUACCGAAGACUUCAUUGCUUGAUUUGACUGUUACCAAAAGAGGUGCUCUGGCUUGCACAUUGUAUGAAUCCUAUAUCCUGGGAAAAGAAGUUGUCCAAACUGUCACUGUAGCAGGUUCUACAGCUAAUCAUUCUGAACUCCACAUGCAAUCAGCGCUUGCCAAAGGAGUUAUCAACUCAGUCUUGUUGUUUUACUCAUCAACGCACUUUGCUGGGUGGAGUUUCUGUGGGAAGCUCAAACCAUCAGAUUUCUUUGUCACGCCUUUGGGUUACUUCAAAGUCUUGGCCUCAAAGCUUCAAAAGUUGAAACCCAAGAAUGAAAGGAGGGUUCGGAAAGAUUACCGUGUAGUCUUCCGAAUGCUGAAGUCUCUUUUCUGCAGAGCAUUGCAUCUGCCAAAGGAAGUUCGACACCUGUUGAAGCUUUUGAGAGAAUUCAGAGAGAAAGAUUGUUUAAUUGUGAACAAUCAUCCGUCUGGUAUGAGUGAGCAGGAGAAAUUAUCCCUUCUUGUGAGAUGUUGCCCGAAAUUAGAGCACCUGGAAAAGGAAUAUCCUGAAAAGUACAUGCAAGUAAUAACCGGGCUGCCAUUCUGUGACACGAAACCCCAUUGGAAGAUAAGAGUCAGUAAAAAAUCUAUACUUGGAUAAUGUGCUAGCUGAAACAAUUGACACCUACCCGGAUGAUGGGACAGGUGUUGUCGAGUUUGUAUGGAAUUCAUUGGAGUACUUGGGCACACAGCAAUCUGCCAAUUUGACGACGGGCCAGACAAGAAAAAGGAAGAACUUUGAGGAUGAGCAAGUGCAGCACAUGCUGGGGAAAGCCCUGCCUGGGUUACUUUGUGAACUUAUGAGGCUGCUCAAUGAUGCGGGAGCACUUGAGAAAAUCCUUGGGGCGUCGCGUCCUAGGUUUGGAGGUCGCUGCAGAACAGAUCACUGGACCUCUUGAAGAUACUGUCUCUCGGACACACCGGUCCUCUUCUGUGCAAAAAUAUUUUUCCAAAAUUCUUAGUAUGACAAAAAAAAUCCUCCAAAGUUCUUGCAAGCAUAUUUGGAUGUUCUUUACCAUAAUAAAAAAGCUUGAAAACCCAUUGCGAUUUUCAUGCUUCGCAAAGAUAACAAGCAGAAGGGUUGCAAAAAAAGGUUCAUGUCUGUAGAAACUGAGACCAAAAAGGUUCAUGUUUUACAGGGGCGUCGAAGGCUUUGUGUGUGUGUGUGUGUGUGUGUGUGUGUGUGUGUGUGUGUGUGCGUGUGCGCGUGCGCGUGCGUGUGGUGUGCGUGCGUGCGG